GAUGAAGAACGUAGCGAAAUGCGAUAAGUAAUGUGAAUUGCAGAAUUCAGUGAAUCAUCGAAUCUUUGAACGCACAUUGCGCCCGCCAGUAUUCUGGCGGGCAUGCCUGUUCGAGCGUCAUUUCAACCCUCAAGCCCCCGGGCUUGGUGUUGGGGAUCGGCGUGCCCUCGCGGCGCGCCGUCCCCUAAAUCUAGUGGCGGUCUCGCUGUAGCUUCCUCUGCGUAGUAGCAACACUCGCACUGGAUCGCAGCGCGGCCACGCCGUUAAACCCCCCACUUCUGAAAGUUUAACCUCGGAUCAGGUAGGAAUACCCGCUGAACUUAAGCAUAUCAAUAAGCGGAG
rnacentral:misc_RNA from 1 species